AUUGAACGCUGGCGGCAGGCUUAACACAUGCAAGUCGAGCGAGCGGCGGACGGGUGAGUUAUGUCUGGGAAACUGCCUGAUGGAGGGGGAUAACUACUGGAAACGGUUGCUACUACCGCAUACCAUCAGAUGUGACUAGAUGGGAGUAGCUAGUAGGUGGGGUAAUGGCUCACCUAGGGGCCGAUCCCUAGCUGGUCUGAGAGGAUGACCAGCCACACUGGAACGGAGACACGGUCCAGACUCCUACGGGAGGCAGCAGUGGGGAAUAUUGCACAGUGGGCGCAAGCCUGAUUCAGCCAUGCCGCGUGUGUGAAGAAGGCCUUCGGGUUGUAAAGCACUUUCAGCGAGGAGGCGUUACUCUCAGAAGAAGCACCGGCUAACUCCGUGCCAGCAGCCGCGGUAAUUC
rnacentral:rRNA from 1 species